rnacentral:rRNA from 1 species
GACGAACGCUGGCGGCGUGCUUAACACAUGCAAGUCGAACGGAAAGGCCCUGCUUUUGUGGGGUGCUCGAGUGGCGAACGGGUGAGUAACACGUGAGUAACCUGCCCUUGACUUUGGGAUAACUUCAGGAAACUGGGGCUAAUACCGGAUAGGAGCUCCUGCUGCAUGGUGGGGGUUGGAAAGUUUCGGCGGUUGGGGAUGGACUCGCGGCUUAUCAGCUUGUUGGUGGGGUAGUGGCUUACCAAGGCUUUGACGGGUAGCCGGCCUGAGAGGGUGACCGGCCACAAUGGGACUGAGAGACGGACCAGACUCCUACGGGAGGCAGCAGUGGGGAAUAUUGCACAAUGGGCGGAAGCCUGAUGCAGCAACGCCGCGUGCGGGAUGACGGCCUUCGGGUUGUAAACCGCUUUCGCCUGUGACGAAGCGUGAGUGACGGUAAUGGGUAAAGAAGCACCGGCUAACUACGUG